rnacentral:rRNA from 1 species
UGGGGAAUAUUGCGCAAUGGGGGAAACCCUGACGCAGCAACGCCGCGUGAGCGAAGAAGGCCUUCGGGUCGUAAAGCUCUGUCUUCUCUGACGAUAAUGACGGUAAGAGAGGAGGAAGCCACGGCUAACUACGUGCCAGCAGCCGCGGUAAUACGUAGGUGGCGAGCGUUGUCCGGAAUUACUGGGCGUAAAGGGUGCGUAGGCGGGAUAUUAAGUCAGAUGUGAAAACCCAGGGCUCAACUGUGGGACUGCAUUUGAAACUGAUAUUCUAGAGUGCAGGAGAGGGAAGCGGAAUUCCUAGUGUAGCGGUGAAAUGCGUAGAUAUUAGGAAGAACACCAGUGGCGAAGGCGGCUUCCUGGACUGUAACUGACGCUGAGGCACGAAAGCGUGGGGAGCAAACAGG